GGGGUUGUGGCUCAGUGGUAGAGCGCUCGCCUAGCACGUGAGGCCCUGGGUUCGAUCCCCAGCACCACA
rnacentral:tRNA from 1 species